rnacentral:rRNA from 1 species
GACGAACGCUGGCGGCGUGCCUAAUACAUGCAAGUAGAACGCACAGUUUAUACCGUAGCUUGCUACACCAUAGACUGUGAGUUGCGAACGGGUGAGUAACGCGUAGGUAACCUGCCUGGUAGCGGGGGAUAACUAUUGGAAACGAUAGCUAAUACCGCAUAAUAUUAAUUAUUGCAUGAUAAUUAAUUGAAAGGUGCAAUUGCACCACUACCAGAUGGACCUGCGUUGUAUUAGCUAGUAGGUGAGGUAACGGCUCACCUAGGCGACGAUGCAUAGCCGACCUGAGAGGGUGAUCGGCCACACUGGGACUGAGACACGGCCCAGACUCCUACGGGAGGCAGCAGUAGGGAAUCUUCGGCAAUGGACGAAAGUCUGACCGAGCAACGCCGCGUGAGUGAAGAAGGUUUUCGGAUCGUAAAGCUCUGUUGUAAGAGAAGAACGGGUGUGAGAGUGGAAAGUUCACACUGUGACGGUAUCUUACCAGAAAGGGACGGCUAACUACGUG